rnacentral:rRNA from 1 species
UUGGGUUUAAAGGGUCCGUAGGCGGGCCUGUAAGUCAGGGGUGAAAGUUUGUGGCUCAACCAUAAAAUUGCCUUUGAUACUGCAGGUCUUGAGUCAUGGUGGGGUCGCCGGAACAUGUGGUGUAGCGGUGAAAUGCAUAGAUAUCACAUAGAACACCGAUCGCGAAGGCAGGUGGCCAACCAUGUACUGACGCUGAUGGACGAAAGCGUGGGUAGCGAACGGGAUUAGAUACCCCGGUAGUCCACGCCGUAAACGAUGGAUACUAGCUGUGGGGACUUCGGUCUCCGUGGCCAAGCGAAAGUGAUAAGUAUCCCACCUGGGGAGUACGUUCGCAAGAAUGAAACUCAAAGGAAUUGACGGGGGCCCGCACAAGCGGUGGAGCAUGUGGUUUAAUUCGAUGAUACGCGAGGCACCUUACCAGGGCUUAAAUGCAGGCUGCAUCGGGUAGAGAUACCCCUUUCUUCGGACCGCCUGCAAGGUGCUGCAUGGUUGU